UGUGUAGGUGGUGCUCUAAGUCUGUCGUGAAAUCUCCCGGCUUAACUGGGAGGGUGCGGCGGAAACUGGGGCGCUAGAGUAUGGGAGAGGAAAGCGGAAUUCCUGGUGUAGCGGUGAAAUGCGUAGAUAUCAGGAGGAACACCUGUGGUGUAGACAGCUUUCUGGACCAUUACUGACACUGAGACACGAAAGCGUGGUAGCAAACA
rnacentral:rRNA from 1 species